AGAGGACGAGGCGCCUUGGGUGUUCGUAUCCUGUCCGUUCCUAUCUGCUUCGGGAUGGUCCACUUGGGAAUUGUCUCCACAUCAUUCGCCACCAUACAAGCUGAAUACGGACAAAACACAUAUAUCGGGCAUUUCCUAUCUGAUGCCACAGAUGUCAGUUAACGUGUAUUUUUGUUAACUAGUGCCUGCGCCAUUCGUAAAUGGGCCGGUCCAUAUAGGCG
rnacentral:lncRNA from 1 species